rnacentral:misc_RNA from 1 species
AAAAUGCGAUACUUGGUGUGAAUUGCAGAAUCCCGUGAACCAUCGAGUUUUUGAACGCAAGUUGCGCCCAAAGCCUUCCGGCUGAGGGCACGUCUGCCUGGGCGUCACGCAUCACGUCGCCCCCACCAACCACCCCGUUUUGGAACUUGUUUGGUUGGGGCGGAGAUUGGUCUUCCGUGCCAUGGUGCGGUUGGCCCAAAUAGAAGUCCCUUCAUGAGUGGCGCACGACUAGUGGUGGUUGAUAAGACUGUCGUAUCGUGUCGUGUGUUUGGUUCAUGUGGGUAGCACUCCUUAGACCCUAUGUGUUGUCCUGUGACAAUGCUUCGAUCGCGACCCCAGGUCAGGCGGGACUACCCGCUGAGUUUAA